rfam:Leucoagaricus sp. SymC.cos contig33928, whole genome shotgun sequence.
GGGUACUUGGUCGAGUCUGGUUUAUGGCGCUCGUCUUGAAAACGAGUACUUCCUAAAGAAGUCGUGAGUUCGAAUCUCACAGUGCCCG